rnacentral:rRNA from 1 species
CACGUAGGGUGCGAGCGUUGUCCGGAAUUAUUGGGCGUAAAGAGCUCGUAGGCGGUGUGUCGCGUCGGCCGUGAAAACCUGGGGCUUAACUCUGGGCGUGCGGUCGAUACGGGCAUCACUGGAGUUCGGCAGGGGAGACUGGAAUUCCUGGUGUAGCGGUGAAAUGCGCAGAUAUCAGGAGGAACACCGGUGGCGAAGGCGGCUUUCUGGGCCUUACCUGACGCUGAGGAGCGAAAGCUGGGGGAGCGAACAGG